GACGAACGCUGGCGGCGUGCUUAACACAUGCAAGUCGAACGGAAAGGCCCUGCUUUUGUGGGGUGCUCGAGUGGCGAACGGGUGAGUAACACGUGUGUAACCUGCCCUUGACUUUGGGAGAGCUUCAUGAAACUGGGGCUAAUGCCGGAUAGGAGCUCCCGCUGCAUGGUGGGGGUUGGAAAGAUUCGGCGGUUGGGGAUGGACUCGCGGCUUAUCAGCUUGUUGGUGGGGUAGUGGCUUACCAAGGCUUUGAGGGGUAGCCGACCUGAGAGGGUCACCGGCCACAUUGGGACGGAGAUGCGGCCCAGACUCGUACGGGAGGCAAGAGUGGGGAAUAUUGCACAAUGGGAGGAAGCCUGAUGCAGCAACGCCGCGUGGGGGGUGACGGCCUUCGGGUUGUAAACCGCUUUCGCCUGUGACGAGGCGAGAGUGACGGUAAUGGGUAAAGAAGCACCGGCUAACUACGUG
rnacentral:rRNA from 1 species